UGCAGAAUCCCGUGAACCAUCGAGUCUUUGAACGCAAGUUGCGCCCGAAGCCUUUACGCCGAGGGCACGCCUGCCUGGGCGUCA
rnacentral:rRNA from 1 species